GAUGAAGAACGCAGCGAAAUGCGAUAAGUAAUGUGAAUUGCAGAAUUCAGUGAAUCAUCGAAUCUUUGAACGCGCCUUGCGCCCUUUGGCUAUUCUGAAGGGCAUGCCUGUUUGAGUAUCGUGAACACCUCAACUCUCAUGGUCUGCCAUGAUGAGCUUGGACUUUGGGGGUCUUGCUGGCCUACUGUCAGCUCCUCUCAAAUGAAUCAGCUUACCAGUGUUUGGUGGCACCACAGGUGUGAUAACUAUCUACGCUUGUGGUUUUCUGCCAGGUAACCUCCAGUGAUGGAGGUUCGAUGGAGCUCACAAAUGUCUCUCCUCAGCGAGGACAGCUUUUUGAACGUUUGAUCUCAAAUCAGGUAGGACUACCCGCUGAACUUAAGCAUAUCAAUAAGCGGAGGA
rnacentral:misc_RNA from 1 species